GGCAGACAGCGAGAGGAAACGCUGGAUGGGACCAGCCAGAUAUGACUUUUCAGGUUUUAAGACGUUCCUGACACAUCACCACUAUGAAGGGGCUGUGUCUUUUCUACCAGCAACUGACAUACCGGGAACACCGCGAGACAAGACCAGGUGUAGAGCUGGGUGCUUCAUAUGCCAGCACAACGGGCAGCUGUAUUCAGGGGUUUCCCCAGAGGAAUCCAAGACUGCUCCA